rnacentral:rRNA from 1 species
AUUGAACGCUGGCGGCAGGCCUAACACAUGCAAGUCGAGCGGAUGAAGGGAGCUUGCUCCUGGAUUCAGCGGCGGACGGGUGAGUAAUGCCUAGGAAUCUGCCUGGUAGUGGGGGAUAACGUCCGGAAACGGGCGCUAAUACCGCAUACGUCCUGAGGGAGAAAGUGGGGGAUCUUCGGACCUCACGCUAUCAGAUGAGCCUAGGUCGGAUUAGCUUGUUGGUGGGGUAAAGGCCUACCAAGGCGACGAUCCGUAACUGGUCUGAGAGGAUGAUCAGUCACACUGGAACUGAGACACGGUCCAGACUCCUACGGGAGGCAGCAGUGGGGAAUAUUGGACAAAGGGCGAAAGCCUGAUCCAGCCAUGCCGCGUGUGUGAAGAAGGUCUUCGGAUUGUAAAGCACUUUAAGUUGGGAGGAAGGGCAGUAAGUUAAUACCUUGCUGUUUUGACGUUACCAACAGAAUAAGCACCGGCUAACUUCGUG